ACACCCAUCGUGGCGGCGUGGAUGGUAGGGCUGCUGGACUCCAUCGCGGAGGUCCCAGUUUCGAAUCCCCUGCGAAGCAGGGGGGCUGAAGCGCUGCUUGGUGAUCUUACCCGGGGUGCGUGGGUGGUGGUCCUGCGUUGCCUCCCCAGGGUUUACCCCCGGUUACCGGCCGUGCGCGGGUUCCCUGGGUCACAAAAAAAAAAAAAAAA
rnacentral:lncRNA from 1 species